rnacentral:rRNA from 1 species
AGGAGCAUGUGGUUAAUUUCGAUGAUACGCGAGGAACCGUUACCUGGGCUCGAACGUAAGAUGACUGUAGGUGAAAGCUUACAUCUCUUCGGAGCAUUUUACGAGGUGCUGCAUAGUUGUCGUCAGCUCGUGCCGUGAGGUGUCGGGUUAAGUCCCAUAACGAGCGCAACCCCUACCUUUAGUUGCCAUCAGGUUAAGCUGGGGACUCUAAAGGAACUGCCUACGCAAGUAGUGAGGAAGCGGGGAUGACGUCAAAUCAGCACGGCCCUUACGUCCAGGGCUACACACGUGCUACAAUGGCCGAUACAGAGGGCAGCUACCUGGUGACAGGAUGCAAAUCUCCAAAGUCGGUCUCAGUUCGGAUCGGAGUCUGCAACCCGACUCCGUGAAGUUGGAUUCGCUAGUAAUCGCGCAUCAGCCAUGGCGCGGUGAAUACGUUCCCGGGCCUU